rnacentral:misc_RNA from 1 species
UCUCCGUAGGUGAACCUGCGGAGGGAUCAUUACUGAGUGAGGGGCUCCGGCCCCAGACCUCCAACCCAUUGUUAUCCGACACUGUUGCCUCGGGGGCGACCCGGCCUUCGGGCGUCGGGGCCCCCGGUGGACCCAUCAACUCUGCAUCCUUGCGUCGGAGUAUUGAAAGCAAAUCAAUCAAAACUUUUAACAACGGAUCUCUUGGUUCUGGCAUCGAUGAAGAACGCAGC